rnacentral:rRNA from 1 species
UACGAAGGGGGCUAGCGUUGCUCGGAAUUACUGGGCGUAAAGGGCGCGUAGGCGGCUCUAUAAGUCAGGCGUGAAAUUCCUGGGCUUAACCUGGGGGCUGCGCUUGAGACUGUGGGACUUGAGGUCAGAAGAGGGUCGUGGAAUUCCCAGUGUAGAGGUGAAAUUCGUAGAUAUUGGGAAGAACACCGGUGGCGAAGGCGGCGACCUGGUCUGAUACUGACGCUGAGGCGCGAAAGCGUGGGGAGCAAACAGG